UACAGAGGGUGCGAGCGUUAAUCGGAAUUACUGGGCGUAAAGCGUGCGUAGACGGCUAUCUAAGUCGGGUGUGAAAGCCCCGGGCUCAACCUGGGAAUUGCAUUCGAGACUGAAUAGCUAGGGUACGGUAGAGGGAAGCGGAAUUUCCGGUGUAGCGGUGAAAUGCGUAGAUAUCGGAAGGAACAUCAGUGGCGAAAGCGGCUUCCUGGACCAGUACCGACGUUCAGGCACGAAAGCGUGGGGAGAAAACAGG
rnacentral:rRNA from 1 species